AAACAAGAUAAAAGCUAACAUUAAACCUUAACAGUAAAUGAGAAAAGUGUUUCAAUUAACUCUUCCAAAAUUUCUACAUAUUUACAUAUUUUAGUCUCAAAGAAAACCAUAGCUUCUGCUCAAGCAAAAACAAUAUCACAGUAACAAUCCACAAAUGAAUACAGUAUCAAAAUCCAAGUACAUGAAAUGAAAUAAACCAGAUUGAAUCAAAAAUUUCAAAACAACACAAAUUAAUUCCAUACUCACACACAUCCUCUAACAGGAACUC
rnacentral:lncRNA from 1 species